GUGCUCGCUUCGACAGCAUAUAUACUAAAAUUGGAACGAUACAGAGAAGAUUAGCAUGGCCCCUGUGCAAGGAUGACACGCAAAUUCAUGAAGCGUUCCAUAUUUAA
rnacentral:snRNA from 1 species